rnacentral:rRNA from 1 species
CCUACGGGGGGCAGCAGUGGGGAAUAUUGGGCAAUGGAGGAAACUCUGACCCAGCAACGCCGCGUGCAUGAUGACGGUCUUCGGAUUGUAAAGUUCUUUUUUAAGGGAAGAAGAAAGUGACGGUACCUUAGGAAUAAGCCUCGGCUAACUACGUGCCAGCAGCCGCAGUAAUACGGAGGAGGCGAGCGUUAUCCGGAAUGACUGGGCGUAAGGGGUGCGUAGGUGGUUUGGCAAGUUAGUAGCGUAACUCCAAGGCUCAACCUUGGAACUACUACUAAAACUGGUGGACUUGAGUGCAGGAAGGGCAGCCGGAAUUCCUGGUGUAGCGGUGGAAUGCGUAGAUAUUAGGAAGAACACCAGUGGCGAAGGCAGGUUGCUAGACUGUAACUGACACUGAGGCACGAAAGCGUGGGGAGCAAACAGGAUUAGAUACCCUUGUAGUC